rnacentral:tRNA from 1 species
GUGGUUUUAUUAUAUUCAGUAUCAAUGAUUUCCAAUCAUUAGGAGUCCUUUGGGUCAUUCCACA